GGACAUUUGCCUUUGUGUGUCUGAGGUAUCAUGUAAGAAUAUCACCUACCCUGAAGCCGUCACGCUGUCCAGUAUAAGAUUUCAUCCACCCUAAGAUGUCCACCCUAAGAUGUCCGGAGCCCAGUAAAAUCAAAGUAGGCCUGAACAUGGAGUUGUUGCAGGAUAUUUGAUCACACUGUGAACCCCGAGACUAUGUUUUUUCCUGGAAAAACCUGUUCUUAUUUGCGCUGUAGCAACACACCUUGAAACGUGAGCUUCCUAUGCAGACAGCGAUGACUAUGCUUUUCUUCUGAGAACUGACUCAGCUCACAAUCGGCAUAGCCUGGAGGGGCUGGGGGAUAAACCCUUCAAGGUCAACCUUACCCAGUGAGAUUCAAGAGUCAGAAGAGAAAGACUCGAACUUCCCCAGGUGAAGUGGUGCUGAUGCGGAACCUCCUAGGUCCUCAGAAGAGCUAUGGACAUGAGCUCUGGGUGCUCAGGGAAGGAGAAGUGCUGCUUAAAACGUUCUUUGUAAGAACAACUACUACAACGACGACAACAAAAUAAAACAAAACAAAAGCCCCUCCCUCAUUCCCAGCAUCCCCACAUAAACUUCAUAUCCACAAGAAAAUCCUCAUCCUGAGAUGGAAUCUGGAGGACCCAAAUGAAGACUGAGUUCUCCUUACCUGGUCGCCUGCCCACAUUCAUUUGUUAUUUGCUACAAACAUAGCUAAUAGUUUUGACAAGAAAAAUAGUACUUUAUUAGUUGGCAAGCUUAAAUUAUACAUAUUUGUACUUCUAGCAAAACUAUGGAGUACAGCUGUUUUUAUCAGCUUGUAAAGGAUGAAGAAAUUGGGCAUUUAAGAGAGUUCCCUAAUGAACAUUUAUCCCAAAGAAAACCGAAUAAUUUAUUGACUGUGGCAAUAGUUGGCGAGACCGUCAACUAUCGGGAGAUUGUUUAGAAAUCGCUGUCAUGGACCAACUAUGAUGAUUAAUGAAUUCAACACCUUCACAGGGCUGGUAAAAUGAGUGCCGUGAGUCAGACUUAGUGGGCGAACUUUUUCCCUUUCAAAUUGCCGAGCUGUUUAGAUUUCUUGUCCCACCACCCAUCUUACAAAAGAUUUCACACACACACACACACACACACGCACGCACGCACACACGCACAUGUGCACAUAGACUUGCAUGCAGACACAUACUUUUUUUUUGAGCAUUUUCAAAGUGUGCCUCUAUAGAUUCAUACAUUUCCCUUUGGCAAUACAGGCAGUAUUGACUUUGGAAUGCAACUUCCAUAGAUAGCCACUCUGAGGGCAAGUCCACAGUAGCUCUUUAUCUCCCUCACAUACUAGGAAACCCUCCAGCAGUGAUGUUACUCAGGCAAAUUUAGAAGGGCCUAGGCAUUCGUGGAGGAAAAUGUCAGCAGUGUCCAGAAAAAGCCAGAAAGUGGUCAAACAUCGGGAACAAGCAAACAGUGCUUGUUUGAAAUUAAACAAAUAUUUGUUGGCUAAAUCCCAUCUCGCUUGUUUUCAAUUUGGCCGAGUGUGAGUGUCUGGGCCCAGUGAUGUCUGACUCACCCAGCCUAUGGGCCUAUGGGAUAUGCACAGCCCUCAUUGAGUGGUUUGUCUGCCUAGUCUGCUGUCCUCAUCUGACGAGAGCAGUCCCUCACUCUAGAAGGAACUGAUCUUUCUCCAUUUCACUUGAGUGCAUCCUAAUGCAUCUAUUCUAGUGCAAAGUUCUUCUGAUUCACUGGAACAUCUGUGUCCCAAGAGCAGGGCUAUGGACGGCCACAUAUACCAUGUACAUACCAUGGCUGUCCCUUUAAGAGGCCACAACAUCUAAGCCAUUUAGAAGUCUUCUCUGGGAAUCUAGGUGGGCAGGGAGAGCUCUUUCUAGCGAUGUGGCUUGAAAUGGUCACAUCUGCCACAAAGAGAAAGCUGGCGUUAAGGGAAGAAGCCAAAUUGCCGAGAUUCAUGAAGACAAGAAUGGAGACAUGGGUCUACUGUGUGAGGUUUCCUACAGCCCAUCUCUUUUUCCUCCAUAGUCUCCUUGGUCAGUCCUCUACCUGUCUAUGGCCUCCUUCCCUAUCUCUCCCAUUACCCCUCUUUCCUGAUCAAAGGACACAACACUGACUUUCUGGUCCUUAAAGCCAAGAGCUCUGAUUAAUGGAACCUCACUGACAUUUUUUGCGGUUUCAUUUAAAUAGUUAUAAAAACCAGCUGCUUAAUUGGACAAGUAUUCUGUGGCCUUUCCCUUUUGAUACGGUAACUGGCAUCUAAGAAAUAGCUAGUACUAGCUUUCCAGUGGUGUUCUUUCUCCGCAACCCUCAGUUCAGAUGGGGGCUGAGCUAUCACUUGCUGCCCAAUGGCUCCAGAGUGCAUGGAGGAAGUGGAGGAAGUGCCCCAUCCAGGCGCUGCUGUGGCGGAAAUUGUAACUUUGAAGCGUGCUUUCAACAUUCUCAGGAGCGUCUGAGCAAUCCCCACCCUCAUGGUUUUACUCCAAACCUGACUGAAUGAUCUUGUUAGUUUCCAUUCCUUAGGCACGGAGACUGCUGAUUCCUACAGUGAUGUUUUGUACAGUGCUGGAGACUCACUCCGAGGUUGACCUCUGAUUUCUGCUUUAUGCUUCACUGAUUAGUCCCCUUGUUCUUAAUACUUUGGGGUUACCAUGAAGGUAGGAACAUUAAUCAUUUUCACUUUGUCAAUAUGUCCGAAAUUUAGGUUUAAAAGGAGUUACUGAUUGUCGUAGCUUAGGUCCCAUAACCGCCCUUCUCCAGGACCCUGUACAGAGACAGCAUCUAUUUUAGCUCUUUAAAAACCAUCCGCUGAAAAAUGAUAAUCUCCAAGAGAACGGAGAUGCUUUGAGUAGGGAGACCUUACGCUAGAGGGCAAAAUAACCACCAAUGCCCAACACAAGCUGGAACCAAUUUAGUGACUGCAAUAUGGUUUAUGCCGUGUGUCAAAAUGCCAAGUUCACCUGCGGCAUGUAAAUCAGUGAGGCCGAUGCUUUGGAACCUGCCUUGGGCAGAAUUCCCAAAAUCUUUCUUCUCCAUUUCUUUCCACUCACUUUUUUUUUUUCCAUUUUAAUAACACGGACCAUAUUUCCUCAAAUUCUCAAAAGGAAAACUUCACCUCACUGCAUCUUUUUCAACCUAGAAAUGUUGUGUGACAUCUGCUAUUAAAUGGAAAACAAGCAAGCAGAAGGAGUGUGAAAUCCUGUUUUGAUAAAAAUAUUUUACAAAUACAAGUGAAUAUGUACCCCUAAAAGUCUUCAUGGAGACCCGCCGAACUUGGAGUAGUGGUGUGAGAGGUGGAAUAAUGCCUUCUCAAAACAUGUCCCCACUUUGGUCAUUGGGAACCCGUGAAUUAUGUUCCUAUAUGUGGCCAUAGGAAGUCUGUGAACAUGUGUAAAUAGAGAAUCUUGAGGGAAGAUUAGCCUGGGUUGUCUAUGAGGGGCCGAUGUCCUUGCUGGGUCUGUUUGUGUGAACAAGCGGACAGAAGAGCUGCUUUCCGAGAAAUGUAGCAUGAGAAAGACGACGAUGCCAUGCCAGUUUUGUAGAUGGAGGGGAGUGCAGGCCAGGAGACCAACAGCCUUCAGAGCCCCAAGAACAGGAAGCAUCUUCUUGCACAGUUUCCAGGAGGAUGCCAGUCUAGGAAGACUUGGUUCUCAUUCUUGACCCUGCGGCUGUAAGAUAAUA
rnacentral:sRNA from 1 species